rnacentral:SRP_RNA from 2 species
GCUGGGCGUGGUGGCGCACGCCUGUAAUCCCAGUUACUCAGGAGGCUGAGGCAGGAGAAUCACUUGAACCCGGGAAGCAGAGGUUGCGGUGAGCUGAGAUUACACCACUGCACUCUAGCCUGGGCAACAGAGUGAGACUCUGUCUCAA